AGUGAACGCUGGCGGUAGGCCUAACACAUGCAAGUCGAACGGCAGCACAGUAAGAGCUUGCUCUUACGGGUGGCGAGUGGCGGACGGGUGGGGAAUACAUCGGAAUCUACUUUUUCGUGGGGGAUAACGUAGGGAAACUUACGCUAAUACCGCAUACGACCUACGGGUGAAAGCAGGGGAUCUUCGGACCUUGCGCGAUUGAAUGAGCCGAUGACGGAUUAGCUAGUUGGCGGGGUAAAGGCCCACCAAGGCGACGAUCCGUAGCUGGUCUGAGAGGAUGAUCAGCCACACUGGAACUGAGACACGGUCCAGACUCCUACGGGAGGCAGCAGUGGGGAAUAUUGGACAAUGGGCGCAAGCCUGAUCCAGCCAUACCGCGUGGGUGAAGAAGGCCUUCGGGUUGUAAAGCCCUUUUGUUGGGAAAGAAAAGCAGCAGGUUAAUACCCCGCUGUUCUGACGGUACCCAAAGAAUAAGCACCGGCUAACUUCAUG
rnacentral:rRNA from 1 species